rnacentral:lncRNA from 1 species
CGACCGGCGGAGCACAAGGCAGGAUGCAGCAGAGAGAGCGGUUUCCUGUUCUCAACGUUGAGCCCAGAGGUGGAAACUAAGGCUUUGGCAGAGCCACGCGCCCUACGGAAGCUCCGGGGGAUCCGCCCUUGCCCGUCCAGCUUCGGGGGAGCAGGUGCCCGUCGGCUCAUCUCUGCCUUGUGUGCACAUGGCCGUCCUCUGUGAGGCCAUGUCCCGAAUCUCUUAAAAGGACACCAGUCAUUGGAUUUAGGACGCAGCC